rnacentral:rRNA from 1 species
GAGUUUGAUUAUGGCUCAGAUUGAACGCUGGCGGCAUGCUUUACACAUGCAAGUCGAACGGCAGCGGGGAAGUGCUUGCACUUCUGCUGGCGAGUGGCGAACGGGUGAGUAAUGCAUUGGAACGUACCGGGUAAUGGGGGAUAACUUGCCGAAAGGUAAGCUAAUACCGCAUACGCUCUUAGGAGGAAAGCGGGGGAUCAUUUGACCUCGCGUUAUCCGAGCGGCCAAUGUCUGAUUAGCUAGUUGGUGGGGUAAAAGCCUACCAAGGCAACGAUCAGUAGCGGGUCUGAGAGGAUGAUCCGCCACACUGGGACUGAGACACGGCCCAGACUCCUACGGGAGGCAGCAGUGGGGAAUUUUGGACAAUGGGCGCAAGCCUGAUCCAGCCAUGCCGCGUGUCUGAAGAAGGCCUUCGGGUUGUAAAGGACUUUUGUCGGGGAAGAAAAGGCAGAUGCUAAUAUCGUUUGCUGA